UCACCUGCCGAAGCAACUAGCCCUGAAAAUGGAUGGCGCUCUAGCGUCGUGCCUAUACCGGGCCGUCAACGGCAAAGCGGGUUGCUGUCCUGCCGGUUCGCCGGUAGGCUCGGCCGUUAAGCCUUGACGAGUAGGAGGUGCGCGGCGGUGUGCGCAGAAGGGUCUGGGCGUGAGCCUGCCUGGAGCCGCCGUCGGUGCAGAUCUUGGUGGUAGUAGCAAAUACUCUAGCGAGGGCCUGGAGGGCUGAUGUGGAGAAGGGUUUCUUGUGAACAGCCGUUGCACAAGAGUCAGUCGAUCCUAAGCCCUAGGAGAAAUCCGAUGUUGAUGGGCGGCAAUCAAACGGCGGACUGCACGUGGUACCAGCACAAGCGGCGGCGAACUCGCCACGUUUUUGCGGGGACAACUUGCGGCUGGCCGAAUGCCCCCGUCGGGCGAAAGGGAAUCCGGUUCCUAUUCCGGAACCCGGCUGCGGAACCGUAACUUCGCGGGCACUCGCCUGCGAGCGCUCGUCGGGGUAACCCAAAGUGACCCGGAGACGCCGGCGGGAGGUCUGGAAAGAGUUGUCUUUUCUUUAUAAGCGUUCGAGUUCCCUGGAAUCCUAUAGCAGGGAGAUAGGGUUUGGAACGCGAAGAGCACCGCAGUUGCGGCGGUGUCUGGACCUUCCCCCCGGACCUUGAAAAUCCGGGUGAGGGCUACGCGGAAAUGUCGCGCCGGCUCGUACCCAUAUCCGCAGCAGGUCUCCAA
rnacentral:rRNA from 1 species